rnacentral:rRNA from 1 species
UACGUAGGUGGCAAGCGUUGUCCGGAUUUACUGGGCGUAAAGGGCUCGUAGGUGGCCAACUAAGUCAGACGUGAAAUCCCUCGGCUUAACCGGGGAACUGCGUCUGAUACUGGAUGGCUUGAGUUUGGGAGAGGGAUGCGGAAUUCCAGGUGUAGCGGUGAAAUGCGUAGAUAUCUGGAGGAACACCGGUGGCGAAGGCGGCAUCCUGGACCGACACUGACGCUGAGGAGCGAAAGCCAGGGGAGCAAACGGG